rnacentral:misc_RNA from 1 species
UUGCUUUUCAAAUGCACAAAUGAGGUAAAUGUAAAAGCACUUGAUAGUUCAGUGCUAUUUUGCCAUAUGGUGCGUGCAUUUAUUUAUUUAUUUAUUUUAUGGUGUAUAUUGUAGUAAGUUCAUUUUUUUUCUCUUUAAAAUUUGUUUAUUUCAGUUAUUUGAUUCGUAAUAAAAGAAUGCUUAAGAGCAUCACUGUCCACCUGCUUUAUUAUUAUUAUUAUUAU